AUUGAACGCUGGCGGCAGGCCUAACACAUGCAAGUCGAGCGGCAGCGGAAAGUAGCUUGCUACUUUGCCGGCGAGCGGCGGACGGGUGAGUAAUGUCUGGGAAACUGCCUGAUGGGGGGGGAUAACUACUGGAAACGGUAGCUAAUACCGCAUAACGUCGCAAGACCAAAGAGGGGGACCUUCGGGCCUCUUGCCAUCAGAUGUGCCCAGAUGGGAUUAGCUAGUAGGUGGGGUAACGGCUCACCUAGGCGACGAUCCCUAGCUGGUCUGAGAGGAUGACCAGCCACACUGGAACUGGGACACGGUCCAGACUCCUACGGGAGGCAGCAGUGGGGAAUAUUGCACAAUGGGCGCAAGCCUGAUGCAGCCAUGCCGCGUGUAUGAAGAAGGCCUUCGGGUUGUAAAGUACUUUCAGCGGGGAGGAAGGUGUUGAGGUUAAUAACCUCAGCAAUUGACGUUACCCGCAGAAGAAGCACCGGCUAACUCCGUGCCAGCCGCCGCCGUAACAC
rnacentral:rRNA from 1 species